UACGAAGGGGGGCUAGCGUUGCUCGGAAUUACUGGGCGUAAAGCGCGCGUAGGCGGACCUGCAAGUCGGGGGUGAAAGCCCGAGGCUCAACCUCGGAACUGCCUUCGAUACUGCGGGUCUCGAGUCCGGGAGAGGUGAGUGGAAUUCCUAGUGUAGAGGUGAAAUUCGUAGAUAUUAGGAAGAACACCAGUGGCGAAGGCGGCUCACUGGCCCGGUACUGACGCUGAGGCGCGAAAGCGUGGGGAGCAAACAGG
rnacentral:rRNA from 1 species